rnacentral:rRNA from 1 species
UACGUAGGGAGCAAGCGUUGUCCGGAAUCAUUGGGCGUAAAGCGCGCGUAGGCGGCCUCGUAAGUCCGUUGUGAAAGUCAAAGGCUCAACCUUUGAAAGCCGAUGGAUACUGUGAGGCUAGAGUCCGGAAGAGGCGAGUGGAAUUCCUGGUGUAGCGGUGGAAUGCGCAGAUAUCAGGAGGAACACCAAUAGCGAAGGCAGCUCGCUGGGACGGUACUGACGCUAAGGCGCGAAAGCGUGGGGAGC